rfam:Oryza sativa (indica cultivar-group) chromosome 2, whole genome shotgun sequence.
AAAAAAGUAAACCAUGAGUUUCCGGUGUCCAACUUUGACUGUCCAUCUUAUAUGAAAUUUUUUUAUAAUUCGUAUUUUUAUUGUUGUUAGAUGAUAAAAUAUAAUUAAUAUUUUAUGCGUGACUUGUCUUUUUAAUAUUUUUCAUAAUUUUUUCAAAUAAGAUGAAUGGUCAAACGUUGGACACGAAAAUCAGAGUUUGUCUUUUU